rnacentral:rRNA from 1 species
UGGGGAAUUUUGGACAAUGGGGGCAACCCUGAUCCAGCCAUUCCGCGUGAGUGAAGAAGGCCUUCGGGUUGUAAAGCUCUUUUGUCCGGAACGAAACGGUUAGCGUGAAUAUCGCUGACUACAGACGGUACCGGAAGAAUAAGCACCGGCUAACUCUGUGCCAGCAGCCGCGGUAAUACGGAGGGGGUUAGCGUUGUUCGGAAUUACUGGGCGUAAAGCGCGCGUAGGCGGAUUAGAAAGUUAGGGUGAAAUCCCAGGGCUCAACCCUGGAACUGCCUCUAAAACUCCUAGUCUUGAGGUCGAGAGAGGUGAGUGGAAUUCCGAGUGUCGAGGUGAAAUUUCGUAGAUAUUCGGAGGAACACCAGUGGCGAAGGCGGCUCACUGGCUCGAUACUGACGCUGAGGUGCGAAAGCGUGGGGAGCGAACAGGAUUAGAUACCC